AAAUUUCAUGGGUUUAAAAUCAACAUUUUCAUCAUUCCUACAAUUCAAUCAAAUUUCAUGGAUUUAACAUCAUCAUUUCUAUAAUUCCCCCUAUUCAAUCAAAUUUCAUGGGUUUAACAUCAUCAUUUUCAUCAUUCCCACAACUCAAUCAAAUUUCAUGGGUUUAACAUCAACAUUUUCAUCAUUCCCACAAUUCAAUCAAAUUUCAUGGGUUUAACAUCAACAUUUUCAUCAUUCCGACAAUUCAAUCAAAUUUCUUGGGUUUAACAUCAUCAUUUCUAUAAUUCCCACAAUUGAAUCAAAUUUCAUGGGUUUAACAUCAUCAUUUUCAUCAUUCCCACAACUCAAUCAAAUUUCAUGGGUUUAACAUCAUCAUUUCUAUAAUUCCCACAAUUCAAUCAAAUUUCAUGGGUUUAACAUAGUCAUUUUCAUCAUUCCCACAACUCAAUCAAAUUUCAUGGGUUUAACAUCGACAAUUUCAUCAUUCCCACAAUUCAAUCAAAUUUCAUGGGUUUAACAUCAACAUUUUCAUCAUUCCCACAAUUCAAUCAAAUUUCAUGGGUUUAACAUCAACAUUUUCAUCAUUCUGACAAUUCAAUCAAAUUUCAUGGGUUUAACAUCAUCAUUUCUAUAAUUCCCACAAUUCAAUCAAAUUUCAUGGGUUUAACAUCAUCAUUUUCAUCAUUCCCACAACUCAAUCAAAUUUCAUGGGUUUAACAUCAACAUUUUCAUCAUUCCCACAAUUCAAUCUAAUUUCAUGGGUUUAACAUCAUCAUUUCUAUAAUUCCCACAAUUCAAUCAAAUUUCAUGGGUUUAACACCAACAUUUUCAUCUUUCCCAUAAUUCAAUCAAAUUUCAUGGGUUUAACAUCAUCAUUUCUAUAAUUCCCACAAUUCAAUCAAAUUUCAUGGGUUUAACAUCAACAUUUUCA
rnacentral:lncRNA from 1 species